rnacentral:rRNA from 1 species
GAACCUUACGUGGGCUUGAUAACCUAAGAACCUUAUAGAGAUAAGAGGGGGCUUGCUGGCGAGGACUUCGGGACAGGUGCUGAACGGCUGGCGUCAGCUCGAGUCGUGUGAUGUUGGGUUACACCUCUCUAAGAGCCCAUUCCACGUGCUAUGCCGGCAACGGUAAUGCCGAGCGCACUUGAUAUGCUGCCU